CGGAGGAUCCAAGCGUUAUCCGGAAUCAUUGGGUUUAAAGGGUCCGUAGGCGGUCCUGUAAGUCAGUGGUGAAAGCCCAUCGCUCAACGGUGGAACGGCCAUUGAUACUGCAGGACUUGAAUUACUGGGAAGCAACUAGAAUAUGUAGUGUAGCGGUGAAAUGCUUAGAGAUUACAUGGAAUACCAAUUGCGAAGGCAGGUUGCUACCGGUGGAUUGACGCUGAUGGACGAAAGCGUGGGUAGCGAACAGGAUUAGAUACCCUGGUAGUCCACGCCGUAAACGAUGGAUACUAGCUGUUGGGAGCGAUCUCAGUGGCUAAGCGAAAGUGAUAAGUAUCCCACCUGGGGAGUACGAACGCAAGUUUG
rnacentral:rRNA from 1 species